rnacentral:rRNA from 1 species
UGGGGAAUAUUGCACAAUGGAGGGAACUCUGCUGCAGCGACGCCGCGUGAGUGAUGAAGGACUUCGUUUCGUAAAACUCUGUUCUAUGGGAAGAAAAGGACUGUACCAUAGGAGAAAGCUCCGGCUAAAUACGUGCCAGCAGCCGCGGUAAUACGUAUGGAGCGAGCGUUGUCCGGAAUUAUUGGGCGUAAAGGGUGCGCAGGCGGCUUUACAAGUUGGAUGUGAAAUAUUGUUGCUCAACCACAAACGUGCAUCCAAAACUGCAAAGCUUGAGUUAAGGAGAGGUAAGUGGAAUUCCUGGUGUAGCGGUGGAAUGCGUAGAUAUCAGGAGGAAUACCGGUGGCGAAGGCGACUUACUGGACUUAAACUGACGCUCAGGCACGAAAGCGUGGGGAGCAAACAGG